rnacentral:rRNA from 1 species
GAUGAACGCUGGCGGUAUGCCUAACACAUGCAAGUCGUACGAGAGUUUUUAACUCUAGUGGCGGACGGGUGAGUAACACGUGAGAAUUUGCCUUUAGGAGGGGAUAACAAUUGGAAACGAAUGCUAAUACCCCAUAUGCUUUUGAGUGAAAUGGAUUUUAUCCGCCUAGAGAGAAGCUCGCGGCUGAUUAGCUUGUUGGUAAGGUAAGAGCUUACCAAGGCGACGAUCAGUAUCUGGUUUGAGAGGACGAUCAGACACACUGGAACUGAGACACGGUCCAGACUCCUACGGGAGGCAGCAGUGGGGAAUUUUCCGCAAUGGGCGAAAGCCUGACGGAGCAAUACCGCGUGAGGGAAGAAUGCCUAUGGGUUGUAAACCUCUUUUUCUAGGGAGGAAUAAAAUGACGUGUACCUGAAGAAUAAGCAUCGGCUAACUCCGUG